GUGCUCGCUUCGGCAGCACCUAUACUAAAAUUGGAAAGAUACAGAGAAGACUAGUGUGGCCCCUGCACAAGGAUGACAAGCAAAUUUGUGAAGCGGUCCACAUUUUU